UACGAAGGGGGCUAGCGUUGUUCGGAUUUACUGGGCGUAAAGCGCACGUAGGCGGUUUGUUAAGUCGGGGGUGAAAUCCUGGAGCUCAACUCCAGAACUGCCUUCGAUACUGGAAGACUUGAGUCCGGGAGAGGUGAGUGGAACUGCGAGUGUAGAGGUGAAAUUCGUAGAUAUUCGCAGGAACACCAGUGGCGAAGGCGGCUUACUGGUCCUAACUGACGCUGAGGUGCGAAAGCGUGGGGAGCAAACAGGG
rnacentral:rRNA from 1 species